AGUGAACGCUGGCGGCAGGCCUAACACAUGCAAGUCGAACGGCAGCACGGCAGUAGCAAUACUGUGGGUGGCGAGUGGCGGACGGGUGAGGAAUACAUCGGGAUCUACCCUGUUGUGGGGGAUAACGUAGGGAAACUUACGCUAAUACCGCAUAAGAACUGAGGUUGAAAGCGGGCGGACCGGCAAGGCGUCGCGCGAUUGGAUGAACCGAUGUCCGAUUAGCUAGUUGGCGGGGUAAAGGCCACCAAGGCGACGAUCGGUAGCUGGUCUGAGAGGACGACCAAGCCACACUGGAACUGAGACACGGUCCAGACUCCUAC
rnacentral:rRNA from 1 species